UCGACCAGAUCACGUUGAAACACCGGUUCCUGUACGAUCACCGAAGUUAAGCAACGUCUUGCCUGGUCUCUAUCUAGAUGGGUGACAGCUUGGGAAUACCAGAUGCUGUAAG